UAUUGCACAAUGGGCGCAAGCCUGAUGCAGCGACGCCGCGUGAGGGAUGACGGCCUUCGGGUUGUAAACCUCUUUCAGUAGGGACGAAGCGAAAGUGACGGUACCUACAGAAGAAGGACCGGCCAACUACGUGCCAGCAGCCGCGGUAAUAC
rnacentral:rRNA from 1 species